CUUUUCUCAUAGCAGCGAUAACGUCCUCCGCAACUUCUGGUGCCUGGAAAAUAAUUUAAAUAAUUGUUAUAAAUGUUAAAACAGUCGAUUUGGUGAAGCACGUCGCAGCGUCGUCGAGCGACUCGGAACGGCCCGAAGCGGCUCGAAGCGAUUGAGCUCAUAAGUUUUCAUGAAGUCAGUGUAGGAAGAUUUUAAGCAACGAUGACUCAUUAAAUCGUUGCUUGGGAGGCUUCACGCAAAAUAGUAAUGAAAGUUUUAAUUCCGUCGUCUGCGUCAAUAGCGCCAAAAACAUCGUCGAGCGGUAAAAUGUUGAUAUAGCAGUAAAUAUUGCUGUAUGCACUUUCAAUCAUGGCCUCACAAGCCUCAUGGAAGUCAUGCAAGUUUUGAGCCUGGCUAUAGGCCAAAAUUGUUAUAAUUUUUGCGUCGAGGCAAACGCGCGCCGCGUAAAAGCUGCAGAGCGUUCGAUAACGCACGCCGCUAAAGAGGCUCAGAAAUCCUUCAGAUCGACAAGGAAAAAGGAAAAUGAGGCUAAUGUUAACUUAAAAGGAUAGCUGUAUCGGCGCAGGCAUCGCAGAGUAAAAGUCAAAGUAUACGGCAUUUCUACUGCAAGCCACGAAGGUCAUCUGAAAAACAGCAAGCGUGGAAGGACUCCAGCGCCGCCAUUUUGUUUAAAAAAAUAGAUAAAAACUUUUUUUAUAUACUUUAAGACGUGUAGAAUAAAGGUCUUUGAACAGAUUUUUCAUUUAUUUCAUUAUUUCGCGAAAAAAAUUAAGAAAGUUACAUAUGAUUUUCAGGUCUCCAAAGUGGCCUAAUCACUUAAACAGGGUUGCCACAAAUUCAGACGAAAUUUUGUGAUUUUCCCCGAUUUUCAACAAUAGUUAUAUAUUUCUUAUAGUAUUUUCGUCCUGAUUUAGAAACCGUGAAAUAUAGAGAUUUGAGAGAAAAGUCACAAAAAUGGGAAGUCAACUUUAAUUUUAAACUCACUUAUUCACAAGUGAUACAAGAAACUUACAGAUAAGUUUAAAAACACAGACAAGUUUAAAAUUCCAGUGCUCUUAGUAAAGCAUUUUAAAUCUCUAUUGAAGUUCACAUUAGCUGACUUAACCUAAGAAUUAAAAUUUAAAAUCCUUAAAAAAAAUUCAAAUUGCAAAAAAAAACUGCAGGUUUACAUAAAAAUUGCCACAAGACUCUCAACGAAAUGUUGAUGAUAUCAAUGCCGCUAUUUCUUCAUCAAGAGCAUUUACAAGAGAAGUGCACGAAAUAUUAAUCAUAAAUGGGUAUGUAUUUAUAUAUUUAUAUAGAGUUUAGUUGUGCAAUAUCUCACUUGAACGGCGUCUCUAGAGGCGCUGUGCACAAUAGAAGUUAUAUAGCUAUUUGCGCCUUUUAAAAAACUGGUUGGAGAUAUUACACAGCUGAAGUCUACUCGCGGCAAAAUCUUUCCAACGAUAAUACAUACCCAUUUGCGAUUAACAUUUCAUGCACUUCUCUUGUUAGUUCACUAGUUUUCUCAGUCAGAAGUUUUGC